UACGUAGGGGGCAAGCGUUGUCCGGAAUCAUUGGGCGUAAAGAGCGUGUAGGCGGCUUGGUAAGUCCGCUGUGAAAGUCCAGGGCUCAACCCUGGAAUGCCGGUGGAAACUGUCAAGCUUGAGUCCGGAAGAGGCGAGUGGAAUUCCUGGUGUAGCGGUGAAAUGCGCAGAUAUCAGGAGGAACACCAAUGGCGAAGGCAGCUCGCUGGGACGGUAACUGACGCUGGAGACGCGAAACGUGGGGAGCAAACAGG
rnacentral:rRNA from 1 species